GAACAGUACAGUAUCAUCAAAUGUAACUGAAUGAGCAAUGUUUAUAAACUUGUGCAGUGUUUUACUCUUUAUAAUCCAUGGGGUGGAAGGUUUGAGUUUAACUCAAUCUCAGAAGGUGUUUGUGAAGCUGAAAGGUAAAACUGUGUCGUUCAAAUGUGAAGUAUCCGGGUUAGGCUCUAGCAAUUUUGUCCACUGGUACCAUAAAAAAGAUGGUGAAACGUUUAAAAGACUACUAUACAUUAGUUACGCUGGGACAGCUACAGGUGAAGCAACAGACUUUGUUUCUGAAAAGAAUGGAGAUUCCUAUGGCAUAAAGCUGAAAGAAAUAAAGGAGGAACACGCUGGCAUGUAUUACUGUGCAGCCUGGGAUGGCAGCCACAUGGGCUGGAUCAAAAGAUUUGGAUCUGGAACGCGGCUGAUAGUAACUGAACCUGGGAAGGACAAUGUCGUGACACCAAAGCUUACAGGAUAUCUGAAUAAGGCAAAUGAGAAGCCGGCGGCAUUGUGCCAGGCCAAAGACAUGUUUCCUGACCUGGUGUCAUUCAAAUGGGAAAAGAAAAGCAGUAGUGGAGGCUGGACCGCAGUAUCAAAUGACCAGGUUGUGGAACAGAGCAACAAUGAAGACCCUGUUACAAGUAUGGUGAUAUUAAACACACCCGAAGACAACAUCUACAGAUGCACUGUAACUCAUGAAGGAAGCUCCAAAAACCCACUACAAAUUGAAAUUGGAAAAAAAGAUGAAAAGCUGCCUGGAAUUAAACCCAGUGGUGCUCCUGACCCAACAUGUCCACCGAGCACUGACAAGACCCCGAUAUCACAAGAAUCAGACAACCCGGAAAAGAAACAGAGUCUGCAGCUGUUUGUGUAUGGCUACGCUGUCAUGCUCAUGAAGAACGUGCUGUAUUUUAUAGUAGUCUUCAUCGUUCUAUUGAAGAGAAAAGCUGGAAAGAAGGAGGAGCGCCCUUAAAAACUUUAGUUCAGUUCGUUUACUGAAUGCUUUAGAUAAACAUCAAGCAAAUGAAUGAAUGAAUUUAUCAGAUAAAGUAUGUUCAGCUGAUUUUUAAAGAAUAUACGCAGCUCUGUUGCCUCUGCUUAUACAUGAAUUGCUUUCGAUGCAGAUCUGCUCUGUGCAACUUUAUUUUUGCAUCUACUGAAAUGGAGAGAUUUGGUUUUAAAAGUACACCAUGUACCUAAUUUUACAAAGUUUUUUCC